CGAUCCCGACUAUGAUCGAUGGGAUAAAGUACCAAAGGAAGUUAGAGAUCGAAUAUUUCCUCGUCUACAGGAUGAUUUAUUCGAUAUUGGUCUCACUCGGUAUGGGGCAGAACAUCGAAGUGGCAUUCUUCUCGGCAUUCAACGAUCUUGCGCUGAUCGUUACUCAGAAUGGAAGAAUGAUAUAUCUACUCACAUAAAGAAGCAUGGUCGGAGACAUGCUCCUGAUGGUUUGGUAGAAGAAAAAUGGAAGAAAGCGCUUGAUUAUUUUGAUCGACCUGAAGUGAAGAGGCGCUCUGAGAUUAAUGCUGCGAAUCGAGCAAAACAAAAACAAAAUAGCUUCCAAGGAUCGCAGUCUACGCC